UCAGGAUGAACGCUAGCGGGAGGCCUAACACAUGCAAGCCGAGCGGUAUUUGUCCUUCGGAACAGAGAGAGCGGCGUACGGGUGCGGAACACGUGUGCAACCUGCCUUUAUCUGGGGGAUAGCCUUUCGAAAGGAAGAUUAAUACCCCAUAAUAUAUUUUACGGCAUCGUGGAAUAUUGAAAACUCCGGUGGAUAGAGAUGGGCACGCGCAAGAUUAGAUAGUUGGUGAGGUAACGGCUCACCAAGUCAGUGAUCUUUAGGGGGCCUGAGAGGGUGAUCCCCCACACUGGUACUGAGACACGGACCAGACUCCUACGGGAGGCAGCAGUGAGGAAUAUUGGACAGUGGGUGCAAGCCUGAUCCAGCCAUCCCGCGUGAAGGACUAAGGCCCUAUGGGUUGUAAACUUCUUUUAUACUGGGAUAAACCUACUUACGUAUAAGUAGCUGAAGGUACAGUAUGAAUAAGCACCGGCUAACUCCGUGCCAGCAGCCGCGGUAAUACGGAGGGUGCAAGCGUUAUCCGGAUUUAUUGGGUUUAAAGGGUCCGUAGGCGGAUUCGUAAGUCAGUGGUGAAAUCUCAUAGCUUAACUAUGAAACUGCCAUUGAUACUGCGAGUCUUGAGUGAGAUUGAGGUAGCUGGAAUAAGUAGUGUAGCGGUGAAAUGCAUAGAUAUUACUUAGAACACCAAUUGCGAAGGCAGGUUACCAAGUCUUAACUGACGCUGAGGGACGAAAGCGUGGGGAGCGAACAGGAUUA
rnacentral:rRNA from 1 species